UUCGCAAAACACCUAUUUGUAUCCGGUUUUAUAUAUAUAGCUUCUUUGGGUAUUUAUAAUGUAGAAUAAUGAAAAAAAUUUCUCGAACUCAAACUUUGUGAACCAGGGGGUGUGUCUUUUCCAACAAACUAAAAAUGGCUCGCGCACAAAAUUUAAAAGCUGCAAUCAUAUUUUGAGUUGAUAGAUGGAACAUUUGUCAGGUUUUUAAUUACUGUACAAAAUUUCAGACAAUUUGGUUUAGUUUAAGCCCCUUAACUAUUCACGCAAAUUUACAUUUUUCCUAAAAAUCAGCUAUUUGCAUGCUUAAUUAAUGCAUUUGCCUAAUUUGCAUAUGUCAGCAAUAUGCAAAUUAGGUAAAUGCAUUAAUUAAGCAUGCGAAAGGCUGAUUUUUUAGAACAAAAUGAAUAGUUAAAGGGGCUUAAACUGAACCAAAUUGUCUGAAAUUUUGUACAGUAAUUAAAAACCAGACAAAUUUUCCAUCUAUUAACUCAAAAUAUGAUUCCAGCUUUUAAAUUUUGUGCGCGAGCCAUUUUUAGUUUGUUGGAAAAGACACCCCCCCCUGGUUCACAAAAUUUGAGUUCGAGAAAUUUUUUUCAUUAUUCUACAUUAUAAG